AUGCUGGUUGUGGUAACAACGUGCUGCAAUGUGCUGUCUCCUAUGGGCUGGAAUGGAAGAGGCCUCAUGAAACAUCUUGCUCCCCAGUGUAAAUUCAUCUACCACAGACUGAAAUGUGAACAACUGCUUGAGUGUCACAAACAACCUGUGACACAGCCAAGGAGACGCUUCUCCAGGAAGCAACACAACUGCAUGUGCUCCGUGCCUCACACCUUUUGUGGACUUUCCGUUCUCGGUGGUAAUGGGGAGGAUGGGGGUGAACAAGGUGAGACCACACCAGAGGCUGUGUGAUUUGUGGGAGCUUUGAAUGCCUCUCUCUUUUUCUCCCAGGCCUCUUCAGUGAAAGUCCAUUUUAUGAUUUGCACAAACCAACAGUUUUGCAGGAGGGCAUGUCAACACCCUGAAUGGCUGAAACUGGCCCAGAAGCUAAAUUAGCUGGAAUUUAAUCUGUAAAAUGGAUUCAUGUAUACCUCACUGCAACAUAAAAGCAAAUCCAAGUUCACAUGGGGAGGUGGGAGAGGGCAAGGCAGAACCAGCAGAAGAAAAGGCUUAGGCUGAAAACACAUUUUGAAAACAAGGUGUUAGAUGAUUAGAUAUGGAGAAAAAAGCAAAUGGAGAAUCCGCAAACACAUAUGGGUUAACUCUACUCCAGCACACUGGGCUUGCUAGAAACAGACUCAGCUCAUACCUUCAAGGGUGCUGUGAUCAGUGGGAGAGCAGAUGUGCAAACAAUGAAAGGUAAGGGGGCUGGUGUCACCUGAGGAUGAGGACAUGGCUAAGCAGAGAUGGGAAAGAGCCCCUCUGAUUAGAGAGGCAGGGAAUCCAGGAGCCUGGCAUCAAGCCAAACCUGGGGCAUGAACAAGAUCUUAUUCAGCUGUGUCUGUUCACACAGGCACCAAGAUGGGUACCAGGGUGUAGAAGCCAAGGACAGUUGAUGUGGCAGAGGCCACUGAGGUGCUGAGUGGGAGCAGAGGGGAGGGGUGCUGGGAAUUGAGGUACCUUGGGGCUCUGAGAGCCUGGUUUUGACGGCGUUGGCUCUGUAUCUCAUUCUGUGGGUUACAACUCAAACCAAGUGGUAUCUCCUUUACAAAUGUGGCCAGAUUUCUGAUGGCAUCCCUUCAAGGUAUACCUCCAUGGCAGGGAUGAGUCAGCACCCAGCCUUGAAGGACAUGGAAUCAGGACACACAGCCUGGCCUCACACUUACAUAGUGCCACGUAAGUGUCAGUGGGUAGCCUCUCUCUUAAAGUAUACCUGGGCCGGGUGUUUCCUGUGUCUCCUUCCUGAACUGGUUCUCUGAACAACUUCUGAAAUGGGUCAGUGUUGCUUUAAAAGAAAGCGGAGAACCUCUGGAAAACAUCUUUUUUUUUUUUUUAGAUGGGAUCUCACUCUGUCUCACAAACUGGAGUGCAAUGACCCCAUAACAUCUCACUGUAGCCUCAAACUCCGGGCCGCAAGCAACCUUCCCACCUCAGCCUCUGGAGGAGCUGGGCCUAGAGGCACAGGCUACUAGGCCUGACUAAUUUUUUUUUUUAAAUAGAGACAGGGGUCUCCCUAUGUUGCCCAGGCUGACCUCAAACUCCUGAGCUCAAGCAGUCCUCCCAUCUCAGCUUCCCAAACUGCUGGGUGUAUAGGCAUGAGUCACUGUGAUUCUUAAACCCUGCCCAUCUCUGCCUACUCCUCUCCCCAGACCACAGCUCUCUAGGACUCUGAUUCCUGUUCAGGAAGCAUAGAGGAGAGUCUGGUAAUUAAAAGUGUUUUCUUUGUUGGCUGAUGAACUUCCAUAGCCUCCAUCUACUGCGUAGUACUUAAUCAUUACUUUUCGUAAUAUUGUGACUAACCAUCCCGGCCAUGAGAACCAGGCUGUCUCUCUUUGAUGUGCAGAGAGGAUGCAGGAGUUGUUUUUGCUAGGGCUGAAAAUCCUGUGUGUCUCUAGAUGUUAGAUUUCUCUUGGAAAAAGGCUCUUACAGGGCCAGUACAAAGAGAAUUUUUUAUACUUCUGUGAAGGGAUGCCAAAAAAAUAUAUAAGAACAACAAAAAAUCCACCAUCAAAUUUACUCCUUAAGUUUACUGACAGCCUGUCACAAUGAAAUAAAACAUUGAUAUUCACUUUGUGGACUUAAUUU
rnacentral:lncRNA from 13 species